CCGCCCUGCGCGCAUAAAGCCCCGCGCUCGCCCGCGCGCCCGCGGAGGCGGCGGCGUCCGGACCCCGCUCCCGCCGGGCUCCCGGGUCCCUGAGGGCGCGAGAGACCCCGAAUCCCGAGGCGGGCCGGGACCAGGGCGCGGCCGCACCCCCCACCCAGCCCAGCGCGGGGGCCGGGCCGUGGGAACGCCCUCCCGGAAUGAAGCGCUUCCCGGUGCCUUCAAGAGUUCUAAGCCCAACCCCAUCGGAUUGGAAGAACCUAAGCCGCCUACCCACUGCGUUUGGAGUUACUUCUCUCAGUCCGCCUCAGUUUGAGAUUUACUCCCCAUGCAGGCAACCGCCUUCACUUCUCCUUUCUCCUCCCUACGCCUCCAUCUCCGGGUCUCUGAGAUCCCCUCCCGCACUUUCACCUAACGCUCCUGGGAGCCACCUCACCCUCCCCGAAAACUACCUCCCUCCAGCCAGGGAACUCUAACAUCCAUUCCAGAUCACCCGCGGAGCCAGGGGCCACCCUCCCUAACCCCACCUCACCACAUCCAUCUCCUCUCAAUUCCCUGGCUGAGACCAGCCAAGAAAGGGUCAAAGCUGGAGGCUAAGACAGCCACUCCCCCCACAUCCCCAUCCCUGCUGGGGAUCUCAGUGCCACACUAGCCCCUCCCUCCCAACUCACCUCCCAGUCCUGCCCCCUUCCCCACCUUAAAUCCACCCCGUAUAACCCAGUGACAACACUCGAUGGCAAGCCCCGUGCUGCUCACCUUGACAUCCAUCCUUCAGUCCGCCACAUUUUAUUAAUGUGUGCAGCAGUUCUGGGUGGCAUAACCUUGACCUCUGAAAAGGUGCCCAUCCCCCUCCUCUCAGUACACCUUCCCUCCCGCCCACCCCAACCACCGCGCGUAUAAGAACGUGAGAGACUCAAGUUAAUGGUUUCCUUGGGGACCUUCUGGGAACACUCAGCAGGUAUAUCCUGCCACCCUGGGCGCAUAACACUAGAAACAAACUUGCUUUUUCCUGUUUUUAUUGU
rnacentral:lncRNA from 1 species